CCUUGCGAGCUCAAAAAAGGUGUUCCAGCCCUGGGGCCGGGUAAAAACUUAAUUUUCCCCAAGGAGGAAAAGGGUGUUUUGGGCGGGGGCCCCCUUCAAAAUAUUAAUUCUCCCAAAAAAAAAAAAAGUUUUUUGGGGGGGGGCGUAGAUAAAAUUUUUAAUCCCCCUGGCCCCCCAAAAAGUUUGUCGCCCCCGGGAAACAAAAAAUUAAUACACCUCUGGCAAUUAAAGAUUUUCCUCGCGCGGCCCCCCCUCAACAUUUUCCUCACCCCUAGGAAAUAUCUUAUGCCUUCCACAAAAAUCAUUUAGCGGGAGCGCGACCCCCCCCCCCCCGUCCCAAGCA
rnacentral:rRNA from 1 species